rnacentral:rRNA from 1 species
ACACAUGCAAGUCGAACGGAGUCAAGAGAAGCUUGCUUUUCUUGACUUAGUGGCGAACGGGUGAGUAACGCGUGAGUAACCUGCCCUGGAGUGGGGGACAACAGUUGGAAACGACUGCUAAUACCGCAUAAGCCCACGGCCCGGCAUCGGGCUGAGGGAAAAGGAUUUAUUCGCUUCAGGAUGGACUCGCGUCCAAUUAGCUAGUUGGUGAGGUAACGGCCCACCAAGGCGACGAUUGGUAGCCGGACUGAGAGGUUGAACGGCCACAUUGGGACUGAGACACGGCCCAGACUCCUACGGGAGGCAGCAGUGGGGGAUAUUGCACAAUGGGGGAAACCCUGAUGCAGCGACGCCUCGUGGAGGAAGAGGGUUUUCGGAUUGUAAACUCCUGUCGUUAGGGACGAUAAUGACGGUACCUAACAAGAAAGCACCGGCUAACUACGUGCCAGCAGCCGCGGUAAAACGUAGGGUGCAAGCGUUGUCCGGAAUUACUGGGUGUAAAGGGAGCGCAGGCGGACCGGCAAGUUGGAAGUGAAAACUAUGGGCUCAACCCAUAAAUUGCUUUCAAAACUGCUGGCCUUGAGUAGUGCAGAGGUAGGUGGAAUUCCCGGUGUAGCGGUGGAAUGCGUAGAUAUCGGGAGGAACACCAGUGGCGAAGGCGACCUACUGGGCACCAACUGACGCUGAGGCUCGAAAGCAUGGGUAGCGAACAGGAUUAGAUACCCUGGUAGUCCAUGCCGUAAACGAUGAUUACUAGGUGUUGGAGGAUUGACCCCUUCAGUGCCGCAGUUAACACAAUAAGUAAUCCACCUGGGGAGUAC